rnacentral:rRNA from 1 species
UACAGAGGUCUCGAGCGUUGUUCGGAUUCAUUGGGCGUAAAGGGCGCGUAGGCGGCGGGGUAAGUCUGGUGUGAAAUCUCGGAGCUCAACUCCGAAAUUGCACUGGAUACUGCUCUGCUAGAGGGCUGGAGAGGAGAUCGGAAUUCACGGUGUAGCAGUGAAAUGCGUAGAUAUCGUGAGGAAGACCAGUGGCGAAGCGGAUCUCUGGACAGCGUCCUGACGCUGAGGCGCGAAGGCUAGGGGAGCAAACGGG